CUUCAAAGUUGGCGUUGUGGGUUGGAUAUACGAUCGCAUGGAAACAUUUUGACUUAUAAAGAAUGUCACAUCUUCCUAAAUAGAAGAGCGAAGGAGCACGGAGUGUUAAGAAUCUUUGGAAGGGAACCGCGGACCAGUGAAAGUUUUUAAAACUAUACCCGACAUGGACUGACAACCGGAUCCCGCUUCAUCAAUCUGGCAAUCUCUAAACGAAACAAACGAUAUAUCGCCAGUUAUAGAAAUAUAGUGUGCAGGAAGAAUAAAUUAAUAUCUGUCUGAGCGAAAGAAGUGUCUUAGCGGCUUAACGAGUAGUGAUUGUUACGUCAAUGUUGACUCAUUUCUGAUUGGUUAUUGUUAGGAAUUGA